rnacentral:rRNA from 1 species
CCUACGGGCGGCAGCAGUGGGGGAUAUUGCACAAUGGGGGAAACCCUGAUGCAGCGACGCCGCGUGAGUGAAGAAGUAUUUCGGUAUGUAAAGCUCUAUCUGCAGGGAAGUAAAUGACAGUACCUGACCAAGUAGCCCCGUCUAACUACGUUCCAGCAGCCCCGGUAAUACGGAGGGGGCCAGCGUUAUCCGGAUUUACCGGGUGUAAAGGGAGCGUAGACGGUUAGGUAAGUCUGGGGUGAAAGCCCGGGGCCCAACCCCGGGACUGCUUUGGAAACUGUGUAACUGGAGUACAGGAGGGGCAGGCGGAAUUCCUGGUGUAGCGGUGAAAUGCGUAGAUAUCAGGAGGAACACCGGCGGCGAAGGCGGCCUGCUGGACUGAAACUGACGUUGAGGCUCGAAAGCGUGGGGAGCAAACAGGAUUAGAUACCCGGGUAGUC